rnacentral:rRNA from 1 species
AAUCAGCUUUUUGAGUGUGAUUAUGUGGUUUAUGAGGAGUUUAACCGCCUUCAUGUAUUGCAUAUUUGUGCUCUUGGGUGUACUUGUCUGUGUGGUAGGUUAACAUCAAUUUUGGUCGUCAUAAAAUGAUUGGAGGAAUGUAGCUUUGGUCUCGUAUCGAAGUGUUAUAGACUCUGGUAGAUGUGAUGAUUGGGAUUGAGGAUUGCAACGGAUACCCCUCGGGGCUACUCGUCUGAUCUCUGAAGGUUGCUCCGGUACCGAAAGCGUGCUUACGGUCAUCGAAAGUGAUUUUCAAAAGGUUAGAACGGGCUAAAUUCGUUAAGGAUGUUGACGUA